GGCCUUUUGAGUUUUAUAUAAGGUCGUACCUGCCCAUUGAUUAAUAAUAUUAAAAGGCUGCGGUAUUUUAACUGUACGAAGGUAGCAUAAUCAUUUGUCUUUUAAUUGAAGGCUAGUAUGAAUGGUUUGAUGAAAUAUAAUCUUUCUUUUAAUUAUUUAUUUGAAUUUAAUUUUUUAGUUAAAAAGCUAAAAUGUCUUUAUAGGACGAGAAGACCCUAUAGAAGUUUACUAAUUUUAUAAAAUUAUAUAUUUUGAUUUUAAAUUAUUUUUUUAAAAAAAUGAGUUUUAUUGGGGUGAUAUUAAAAUUAAAUAAACUUUUAAUUUUGUUUUUCAUUGAUUUAUGUUUUUUUGAUCCAAAAUUUUUGAUUAUAAGAUUGACUUACCUUAGGGAUAACAGCGUAAUUUAUUUGGAGAGUUCUUAUCGAUAAAUAAGUUUGCGA
rnacentral:rRNA from 2 species